rnacentral:rRNA from 1 species
GACGAACGCUGGCGGCGUGCCUAAUACAUGCAAGUUGAGCGAUGAAGAUUGGUGCUUGCACCAAUUUGAAGAGCAGCGAACGGGUGAGUAACGCGUGGGGAAUCUGCUUUUGGGCGGGGGACAACAUUUGGAAACGAAUGCUAAUACCGCAUAACAACUUUAAACAUAAGUUUUAAGUUUGAAAGAUGCAAUUGCAUCACUCAAAGAUGUUCUCGCGUUGUAUUAGUUAGUUGGUGAGGUACAGGCUCACCAAGGCGUUGUAACAUAGCCGACCUGAGAGGGUGGUCGGCCACAUUGGGACUGAGACACGGCCCAAACGCCUACGGGAGGCAGCAGUAGGGAAACUUCGGCAAUGGACGAAAGUCUGACCGAGCAACGCCGCGUGAGUGAAGAAGGUUUUCGGAUCGUAAAACUCUGUUGGUAGAGAAGAACGUUGGUGAGAGUGGAAAGCUCAUCAAGUGACGGUAACUACCCAGAAAGGGACGGCUAACUACGUG